CACGUGGGUAUUUUAUCAUCUCUCAGCAUCACCACAAGAAGAAGGGUUUUCUGAGUGCUGAAGACUAUAAUUCUUCCAUAAAGGUUUUCUGAGCACUGAAGACUAGGGUUUGGAUCAGUCUAAGAGCUGACAUUUUUGGGAGUAAGUGCAAUGGAAGCAAACAAGUGGGACAAGGGCAAUGCUGUUAUGAAAGAUCAUGAACCCUAGGCUGAAUACAGAGACAGGAGAACAAAGCGAUGGAAAAUGACAGGACAUGGCAUUGGAAAGGAUUUGGUGAGGUCCAACUACCACAUCCAACUACUAUUGAAGUGAGGGCAUGUAAGAAAGGAGAAAGGACACAGGUUGUAAUAAGAAGUUCUAACUAAUGCAAAACACACAAGAAAUAAGAGGAACGAAUAUUCACAAAGAAGAGAUAGGACUGUCACCAUUUGCUGACAAGGACAUAUAAGAGAAGAAUCACUCCCCACCUCCAAGAAAAAGAGUAGAAAAGUGCCUCAGACUUGUCCCCUGGACUGAACAUCCACCUGAGGCUGCCAAGGCUGCCAAGGCACAACCCUACCCUGCCCAUCUCCCUCUGCUCCUGUAAACCGUAGAUGGGAAACAGACACAAAGAAGCCCCAGGCAUGGAGGUUCAUCACUCCCAUUCCACAGGCACAGCCAUUACACAACAUCAGCUGGUCUGCUGUGCCUUUUUGGAGGCCAUUUUUGAAAAGUUGUCCCUUUGAAUGCACAGAAGUCAGGAAAUGCAAAAUUAAGGUUCUCAGAGUAACCAUAACUCACUCACAAUGCACAUCGAGGCAUAAAUUUCCCUGGAAGUGCAACAACAUAAAACAUUGAGCACAGCAGAGUGGGAGAAGUGAGGACUGUUGCUGAAGUCAUAAAUUUGAAUUUCGUGACUUGGGUGCAUUUUCACUGUCACCCAUGACACUACAUUAACAUAGCAUUCACACUAGAAAUGGCGACAUAAUUCAGAGGCCUUCGUGCCUGUGACUGAGGUAGUUUUCUCUGUAGGGACCUCUUCUCAGACAUUCAUAAGGAUUUCAAGGAAAAAAAAAAAAAAACCUGAGAAGAAAUAUUAGUCCCUUGGGGAAUGUAGCGAAAUCUACCCAGCAUAAAAGGAUUAGCUACAUUUAUUUUCUAGCAAGCUCUGGAAGCAAGCAACCACUUCCCUUUCGAGGACUACAUCCCUGAGAGAAGG